rnacentral:piRNA from 1 species
UAGAGGGCCAAGAUACUUUCUUCCACUCUA